AUUGAACGCUGGCGGCAGGCCUAACACAUGCAAGUCGAACGGUAACAGGAAGAAGCUUGCUUCUUUGCUGACGAGUGGCGGACGGGUGAGUAAUGUCUGGGAAACUGCCUGAUGGAGGGGGAUAACUACUGGAAACGGUAGCUAAUACCGCAUAACGUCGCAAGACCAAAAAGGGGGACCUUCGGGCCUCUUGCCAUCGGAUGUGCCCAGAUGGGAUUAGCUAGUAGGUGGGGUAACGGCUCACCUAGGCGACGAUCCCUAGCUGGUCUGAGAGGAUGACCAGCCACACUGGAACUGAGACACGGUCCAGACUCCUACGGGAGGCAGCAGUGGGGAAUAUUGCACAAUGGGCGCAAGCCUGAUGCAGCCAUGCCGCGUGUAUGAAGAAGGCCUUCGGGUUGUAAAGUACUUUCAGCGGGGAGGAAGGGAGUAAAGUUAAGACCUGUGCUCAUUGACGUUACCCGCAGAAGAAGCACCGGCUAACUCCGUG
rnacentral:rRNA from 1 species